AGCAGCCGCGGUAAUUCCAGCUCCAAUAGCGUAUAUUAAAGUUGUUGCAGUUAAAAAGCUCGUAGUUGAAUUUCGGGGUUAGUAGGUUGGUCAUGCCUCUGGUAUGUACUGGUCUCACUGAUUCCUCCUUCCUGAUGAGCCGUAAUGCCAUUAAUUUGGCGUUGCGGGGAAUUUGGACUGUUACUUUGUAAAAAUUAGAGUGUUUAAAGCAAGCUAACGCUUGAAUACAUUAGCAUGGAAUAAUGAAAUAGGACGUUCGAUCCUAUUUUGUUGGUUUCUAGGAUUGACGUAAUGAUUAAUAGGGAUAGUUGGGGGCAUUAGUAUUCAAUUGUCAGAGGUGAAAUUCUUGGAUUUAUUGAAGACUAACUACUGCGAAAGCAUUUGCCAAGGAUGUUUUCAUUAAUCAAGAACGAAAGUUAGGGGAUCGAAGACGAUCAGAUACCGUCGUAGUCUUAACCAUAAACUAUGCCGACUAGGGAUCGGAUGAUGUUAAUUUUUUAAUGACUCAUUCGGCGCCUUA
rnacentral:rRNA from 1 species